UUUUCUCGAUUCGGAAUACUGAACCGGGGACUUGGGACACCAUAAAUCUCCCAAGUGGCGACUCUGAAAUUCUCUUAAAUAACUGAAUAUUGAUUCGAUUGUCCUUUAAUUGGAAAAAAUUUCUUAUCUACGCCCUUCGUCGGGGUGUAAUGGUCUAAAAGGAGGUGUGACAACUCUGGCGACUCCGCUAGGAUUCGAACCCAGAAUCUCUGGUUCAGGGUUCAAGAUUUCGAGCUCAUAAUAAUUGUUGUAUUAAGCUUUGUUUAUUAUCUGAUUUUACAUGUUGGCAUAAUGUGCAAAAUGAUGCUUUUACCGCUUUGUUGUUAUCUGAACUGUACAUAUAACUACUACGAAAAUCUUCUCUUCACACCUCCGGGGAUGUGCUUACUGUUUGAGACUCCCUAUUCUGUUAGUGUACCCUGAAAUAAGAAAGAGGCCAGACAAGUUACUAAGCCGGAUGGCAUUUUGUUUCCCGGUAUGUAGCCCUUCCUCGACUCGAGUUGUCCGGUCGAGUACACUGUCUAGAACAUAUACCAAUAUUUUUAACCUAGAAUAACUCAACCUCAUGCCGGAUCCCUGGUAGGAACGCUUAUUUACAUCAUGCAUUUGACUUAGAGGACUCAACACAGAGGUUGCGUCCGUCUAGGACAGGUGUACCUAAUUUAAAAGACCAUCCUGAUGCAUUUUAUAUGCCACAUGUUGCAUUUUUU
rnacentral:lncRNA from 1 species